UCCUUAGUGGUGUAACGGCUAACAUCGCUGUCUUUCAAGACCUGUGAAUGACCACAGCAGCUCGGGGUUCGACUCCCCGCUAAGGAG